rnacentral:rRNA from 1 species
GACGUAGGGCGCGAGCGUUGUCCGGAUUUAUUGGGCGUAAAGAGCUCGUAGGCGGCUCAUUGCGUCAACCGUGAAAUCCUGCUGCUCAACGGCAGGUCUGCGGUUGAUACGGGUGGGCUGGAGUUCGGUAGGGGAGACUGGAAUUCCUGGUGUAGCGGUGAAAUGCGCAGAUAUCAGGAGGAACACCGGUGGCGAAGGCGGGUCUCUGGGCCGAUACUGACGCUGAGGAGCGAAAGCGUGGGGAGCGAACAGGAUUAGAUACCCUGGUAGUCCACGCUGUAAACGUUGGGCGCUAGGUGUGGGGGGCCUCUCCGGUUUCCUGCGCCGUAGCUAACGCAUUAAGCGCCCCGCCUGGGGAGUACGGCCGCAAGGCUAAA